rnacentral:rRNA from 1 species
UACGUAGGGUGCAAGCGUUGUCCGGAAUUAUUGGGCGUAAAGAGCUCGUAGGCGGUUUGUCGCGUCUGCUGUGAAAAUCCAGGGCUUAACCCUGGACCUGCAGUGGGUACGGGCAGACUAGAGUGCGGUAGGGGAGAUCGGAAUUCCUGGUGUAGCGGUGAAAUGCGCAGAUAUCGGGAGGAACACCAGUGGCGAAGGCGACUUCCUGGCCUGUUCUUGACGCUGAGGCGCGAAAGCUAGGGGAGCAAACGGG